AUGCGUUGUUGGGUAGGGGAGCGUUCUGUAAGCCUGCGAAGGUGUGCUGUGAGGCAUGCUGGAGGUAUCAGAAGUGCGAAUGCUGACAUAAGUAACGAUAAAGCGGGUGAAAAGCCCGCUCGCCGGAAGACCAAGGGUUCCUGUCCAACGUUAAUCGGGGCAGGGUGAGUCGACCCCUAAGGCGAGGCCGAAAGGCGUAGUCGAUGGGAAACAGGUCAAUAUUCCUGUACUUGGUGUUACUGCGAAGGGGGGACGGAGAAGGCUAUGUUGGCCGGGCGACGGUUGUCCCGGUUUAAGCGUGUAGGCUGGUUUUCCAGGCAAAUCCGGAAAACUAAGGCUGAGGCGUGAUGACGAGGCACUACGGUGCUGAAGCAACAAAUGCCCUGCUUCCAGGAAAAGCCUCUAAGCAUCAGGUAACAUCAAAUCGUACCCCAAACCGACACAGGUGGUCAGGUAGAGAAUACCAAGGCGCUUGAGAGAACUCGGGUGAAGGAACUAGGCAAAAUGGUGCCGUAACUUCGGGAGAAGGCACGCUGAUAUGUAGGUGAAGUCCCUCGCGGAUGGAGCUGAAAUCAGUCGAAGAUACCAGCUGGCUGCAACUGUUUAUUAAAAACACAGCACUGUGCAAACACGAAAGUGGACGUAUACGGUGUGACGCCUGCCCGGUGC
rnacentral:rRNA from 1 species